GUAUUUAGUAUUUUAAAAUAAUAAACAAAAUAGAUUUUUAUCUGUCAGUCACAGAAAUGAAAACAAAAUUUAAAAAUAUAUAAAGCCUGGGAAGUGGAUUUAUCUCAUAUACUAUUGGAACUGGUACUGCCUUUCAAAGAACAGACCUAUUACAUUAUUAAAAGUUGCCCUCUGUUUACCCUAGUAGUUCCGCUUCUGAGAAUCCAUUCUGGAACACUAGAUAAUGGCAAUAGUAGACUACUAGAAUUCUAUUGUAUUAGUAUGUAAGUGAAAAAAAUUCACUCCAAGUAUGUUCUAGCAGAAAAAAAGAAGACUUAAGAUUUACAUCUUUCUGGAUAAAUUCAGAGACAUCUAGAGCUAUCGGACAGACAGGCCCAGUGAAGAUGAAUGCAGAGGCUACAAGCAAGAGCAAGAAGGGAGACUAUUUUCAAAUGUGGUCAUUAAGUAUCCUAGCCAUUCGAGAGGCAAACUGAUU
rnacentral:lncRNA from 1 species